rnacentral:rRNA from 1 species
UACGAAGGGUGCAAGCGUUACUCGGAAUCACUGGGCGUAAAGCGUGCGUAGGCGGUUGGUUAAGUCUGCUGUGAAAGCCCUGGGCUCAACCUGGGAACUGCAGUGGAUACUGGCCAGCUAGAGUGUGAUAGAGGAUGGUGGAAUUCCCCGGUGUAGCGGUGAAAUGCGUAGAUAUCGGGAGGAACACCAGUGGCGAAGGCGACUACCUGGCCUGUUCUUGACGCUGAGGCCGCGAAAGCUAGGGGAGCAAACGGG